ACAUGGACGGUAAUGGGGUCGACUGAAAAUCGUGCAGUCAAAAUUCUCACCGAUCUACGUCCAGUCGUUUUCUAACUCCGCAACUAAAACAUUUCUGUCAUUGUCGAAUGAUCAUUCAGCAGUAUGUGCAAUCAGCGAUACGAGUCGUUACUGGAGUUUCCGUAUAUGGUCGACCGCCAAUUUUCGUACAAAUACACUUCUUGGCAAAGACGUCGACCGGUGAUGAGAUGUUGGCCAACGAUAAUGGCAAUAUCAACACUUCUCAUAUUCAUCGCAACCACUGCUGGCAUUGCUGUCUGACAUGCGCUGUUGGAACGACAAGUGGAUUCCAAAAAUGGCGGACGAGUGAACCGCAAACUCGAGCAAGCGGAUGGAAUUCGACGAGGACUCUUUUUCUAUCGAAUUUUUUAAAUAUUCAUCAUUUUAUAAAACAAAUAAAUUAUUUCCCACAUAAA
rnacentral:lncRNA from 1 species